rnacentral:misc_RNA from 1 species
UUUUUUCAUAGAACAAAUACGGGAAAAAAAAUCAUAUUGAAAACGUUCCUAACCCAACCCCUUCCUUCGUAGAGCUGUGUAUUGUAAGUGAUCCGAACCUGCCCGGAGCGAGCCCCCCAUAGAGGCAAGUGAAGUUGGUGAGCCGUAUGAUGGGCAACUAUCUCUUGCGGUUCGGAGAGGACUCAGCUGUUAGUUAGUACCCCCUUGGUUUCGGGGUGGACUCUUUCACUCUAUUUUAUUAUAUACGCUUAGUGAAAAGAAU